UUCAGCAAAUAAUAGCCAGCUGCUGGGGGCCCAAGAGGAACAUGUUAAACCAAACAAAGAAACCAGUAAAGUUAUAAGGAUGAUAAUGGAACCAUCAGUAGAAAUCGUCCUUCUCCACCGGAACAUUGACUCUAAGAGGAGCUAGGUGAAUUGAGGAAACUAUCACUGUAAAAUACACAGAUGAUCUCCAAGAUCUCUUAAGAGUAUCAUUUACGCCUAAAUCCAACAUCAUAAUUUCUUCCAACAUUUGACUAAGAGAAUGAAGGACAAUAACCAACCAACCAACCAACUGACCGA